rnacentral:rRNA from 1 species
ACGCGCGGAACCUUACCAGGUCUUGACAUCCUCUGACACUCCUAGAGAUAGGACGUUCCCCUUCGGGGGACAGAGUGACAGGUGGUGCAUGGUUGUCGUCAGCUCGUGUCGUGAGAUGUUGGGUUAAGUCCCGCAACGAGCGCAACCCUUGAUCUUAGUUGCCAGCAUUAAGUUGGGCACUCUAAGGUGACUGCCGGUGACAAACCGGAGGAAGGUGGGGAUGACGUCAAAUCAUCAUGCCCCUUAUGACCUGGGCUACACACGUGCUACAAUGGACGGUACAAACGGUUGCCAACCCGCGAGGGGGAGCUAAUCCGAUAAAACCGUUCUCAGUUCGGAUUGUAGGCUGCAACUCGCCUACAUGAAGCCGGAAUCGCUAGUAAUCGCGGAUCAGCAUGCCGCGGUGAAUACGUUCCCGGGCCUUGCACACACCGCCCGU